UACGAAGGGGACUAGCGUUGUUCGGAUUUACUGGGCGUAAAGCGCGCGUAGGCGGAUCGCUAAGUCAGGGGUGAAAUCCCAGGGCUCAACCCUGGAACUGCCUUUGAUACUGAGGAUCUUGAGUUCGGGAGAGGUGAGUGGAACUGCGAGUGUAGAGGUGAAAUUCGUAGAUAUUCGCAAGAACACCAGUGGCGAAGGCGGCUCACUGGCCCGAUACUGACGCUGAGGCACGAAAGCGUGGGGAGCAAACAGG
rnacentral:rRNA from 1 species